CUGUGAAUAUUCUCGCUGUCCUGGUUUUGUGGGAGCCAGGGCAGGCUAAAAAUCGCUAUAGAAAACCAUGCAUGUGUCUCCGGGCUGAGUUCUUUCCCUGAGCCUGGUUUUAUAAAUGCUGGUGAUAAGA